rnacentral:rRNA from 1 species
UGACGACUCUCGGCAACGGAUAUCUCGGCUCUCGCAUCGAUGAAGAACGUAGCGAAAUGCGAUACUUGGUGUGAAUUGCAGAAUCCCGUGAACCAUCGAGUCUUUGAACGCAAGUUGCGCCCGAAGCCGUCAGGCCGAGGGCACGCCUGCCUGGGUGUCACGC